CGUGAGGAACCUGCCUUUCAGAGGGGGACAACAGUUGGAAACGACUGCUAAUACCGCAUAACGCAUGGGUAUCGCAUGGUAUCUGUGCCAAAGAUUUAUCGCUGAGAGAUGGCCUCGCGUCUGAUUAGCUAGUUGGUGAGGUAACGGCCCACCAAGGCGACGAUCAGUAGCCGGACUGAGAGGUUGGCCGGCCACAUUGGGACUGAGAUACGGCCCAGACUCCUACGGGAGGCAGCAG
rnacentral:rRNA from 1 species